UCUAUGCGUUAUAAAAUUUCUCUACAACAUUAUUUUUAGCAAGACUACAGUAUCUCUUAUGUCAUGUUGAAUUUCUGUGUUAACCAUUUUUUCUGAGUAGCUUACUUAUUCAUGUUUUCAAAGGGAUGCGACAUAUUAGUAUAAAAUGUUGCAGAGGAUUUACUAUAUUAGAGACAAUACUUAGUGAAUUUAUUCUUCUAUCUUUUGUUUUGGAUAGAUUUUAGCAAAAAGAAAAAAGGAAAGGGAAACCAUAAUGAACCGGAGAAGAAACUGAAAGCUUGUUUCCUUUUAACUUAGAACCAAUUUUUGUUUCUUCAGUUCUCAUGUUUAUGUGCAUGUCAAGGACGAAUCUUUCUCUGUUCAAGAGAGAUAUCGAUGAACUCAUCGACGAGUUUGUGGAGGUACUUUUGUUCUUUUUUUCUCAUCGACGAGUUUGUGGAGGUCACAUGGUUCUUUUUUCAUGGAGACCUGGAGGUCUUUACUGUCUUUAUUGCCUUCAUGAGCCCGAGUUCCGGAUUUAUAUCUCACUUCCCUAGAAUGUGAAAGCGGCAUGCUGUUGUGUGAUUCCUUGAGGGAUCUUAUAGUUGAGGCAAAAGACAAAGGUGUGGAGAUAGAUACUGCUGUGACGAGACAAAUGCUUGACAUAAACGUGUUUAUAUAUGGAGCUGUGGAUCUUGAUGAAGCGUCUACAAUAAAGAAACUUCAUCAAUCUAUAGAGCUACAGAACGCACU